GAUACACCCUUAUGGAGCAGGACUUGCUUCAGUGGGACUUUAGUGCUCACAGGUUCUGCCCCUUGAGUGUGUCACU
rnacentral:pre_miRNA from 1 species